GUCUACAGGAAUACUACCCUGAACAAGCCUGAUCUUGUCUGAUCUCAGAAGCUAAGCAGGUCAGGCCUGGAUAGUACUUGGAUGGGAGACCACCUAGGAAAACCAAGUGCUUAUAGGCA
rnacentral:rRNA from 1 species